CAUGAUUCGGAUAGAGAUGCCCAGAGUGAUAGGUUGAGAUACAGACCAUCUCCUCACUGAUGCCCAGGACCAAACUAAGGUGUGCUAAGAAGCUUUGCAAAUCAGGUGUAAGAUGUCUGAAGUAGAACAUCAAGAAGAACAUGAUGCUUCUGAAGAAUUGGUUCUCUGUGGCCUAUCCAAAUUCACCCAACAAUUUUAUGACAGAAUCAGGGUCACAACACUUGCAUCCCUGUUCUCUGCCUUAAUCCUUUGAUAACCUUUAAUUCUUCAGUAAAUAAAGAUGCAAUAUAUUUCUAGUUAA